AAGAAAUUAAAAUGGUUUAUUGUCAAGCAUGCGAGAAUGGUUUAAAGGAAUCAACAGUAUCCUAUCUGGGAUUGAUUUUCUUGUUAAGUUUCGCGUACAUAGAUCGAGAGAUUAAGAAUAAAUCUCAUGCGAAACUGUUAAUGGAGGAGGAAGAAGAAACGUUUUGGAAUAACAGGUUCUUUACUGUACAAAGUGUGUCGAUGAAUUAUGGCUUGGAGAGAUGGAGUGUCAACAGAGAUGGCAUUUAGCCAACAAUGCGCUUACCGAAGACUAUGAAUGAUGGUUAACUGGGAUUCGUUUCCUAACCCGUUUUCUUAAAUUAAUAUAUAGUCAUCCCUUACGACAAUUGGUCUGAAAGCUUUUUUCGGAAUUAUCUUGUUUGUAAGAUAAUCCGGAGGAAUAAUUAGUGGUAAACAUGUGGGAAUGAUUGAUGAAAGGUUUGGAUCAAUCAACGAGAGUUUAUCUCGUAGUUGUUGAAUGAGAUUCUUUCGUCAAAAUGUCGCUUAGUUUUUGCGGCUGGCUACAUUCCAUUCCCAUGGCAAAUGCUACACCCACACAGCAUUUGUUAGUUGGUCGGCAAACAAAAGACGUACCCGUUCAGUGAGAAGACAGAUGUUGAGCAACAGCUGGGGGGAGUUGGCGAUGCUCCCGGUUUGCAUGGAACUGUCUGGCGCUACGGUCCGAUGGAUGGAGCUGAGUCAGCUCAGAGAAUGGUGGAGACAAGCGGCUCACCCAACAAGUGGUACGAUCCGCGAUUAGACUUUAAAUGUGUUGGCAAUUAAACAUAAAGCCAAUUAAAACUGUCUCGCACCGAAUCUUCUCCAUUCGUCAGGCUGAAUUAUCUCCUCUGGUUACUCACACAUUGGCACACGAUCCUUCGCCGCAAACUUUGACGUUUCAAUGACCACCAUCGUGUCGAGAGGUGCAGUGACAUAGACGGGAGGUCAGAGAGUGCCAUUGCGGUGUUCGACUUUGCCCCUCUAACAGGUUGGUGAUGCCGAACUAUGCGGCUUCUCCAGACAUCGAAGACAGACUGAUGUCCCUGGUGUCGAUAUGUUCCUCUCGUGCAUAAUCCCUCUUGUUUACGUCCGACAUAGAAUAGCAGGUGACUGGACUUUAGUCCGUCAUUUGGGAACGUGCCUAGCCGAGUUCACUGGGCUGAACUACCAUCGAAACAGACAAUUGAAGGUGGUGUUGUCUGGCAGAUUCGAUACACCUCACUCCUAACAACUCCAGUACAGACGUUUUUAAAAAUUUCACGAAUAAUUAACUACCAAUUCGCUUAUCGUCAUCAUCAUCAUCAGAUACUUAAUUUAUUUUGUUAAAAAUAUUAAACUUUCCUGUUUCUGUAACCAGAAUGGUUCAUAAAAUAUCAUAACAAUGGCUAAUACGUAACAAACAGUGCAUUCAAUUUAUAAAACAGGUCUACUAACAUCACGUGAAGAAGGAAGUGCAUAGUUUUAAUCUCUCUUAAUAAAUCCGCCUUUAUAGUUUUGAAAUUUGCCUCUUUGGUGCGAUAAGAACUCGAGUAGGGCAAUCGUAGCGUGUCUAAUCGGAGACGACACCUUGUUUACUUUUUUCUAUCACUUCCGGUCCAACAAUGUCCGUGACAACAACUAAUAAAUUAUGACGACCCGAUUGUAUGGCUGUGUGACGUCAUGUAUUUGUCCUCAACUGUCAACUGUCAUUUCUUUCGGGUGAACUUGUCCAAUAGACGGUUUACGAAUAAUAAAUGCCACAUGAUUAAUUUUUAUUCCAGUUAACCUUUAUUUCUCUAAUUUUUUUUUGUUGCUAGCAUAUUCCUGAUGAUUGUUAACGCUUUAUACGAGGC
rnacentral:lncRNA from 1 species